UACGUAGGGUGCGAGCGUUGUCCGGAAUUAUUGGGCGUAAAGAGCUCGUAGGCGGUCUGUCGCGUCGGUCGUGAAAACUUGGGGCUUAACCCUGAGCUUGCGGUCGAUACGGGCAUGACUGGAGUUCGGCAGGGGAGAGUGGAAUUCCUGGUGUAGCGGUGAAAUGCGCAGAUAUCAGGAAGAACACCAAUGGCGAAAGCAGCUCUCUGGGACGGUACUGACGCUGAGACGCGAAAGCGUGGGGAGCGAACAGG
rnacentral:rRNA from 1 species